UACGUAGGGUGCGAGCGUUGUCCGGAAUUAUUGGGCGUAGAGAGCUCGUAGGCGGUGUGUCACGUCGUUCGUGAAAACCUGCAGCUUAACUGUGGGCGUGCGGUCGAUACGGGCAUCACUGGAGUUCGGCAGGGGAGACUGGAAUUCCUGGUGUAGCGGUGAAAUGCGCAGAUAUCAGGAGGAACACCGGUGGCGAAGGCGGGUCUCUGGGCCGAUACUGACGCUGAGGAGCGAAAGCGUGGGGAGCGAACAGG
rnacentral:rRNA from 1 species